UAAGGAAUAUUGGUCAAUGGAGGCAACUCUGAACCAGCCAUGCCGCGUGAAGGAUUAAGGCCCUCUGGGUUGUAAACUUCUUUUAUAUGGGAAGAAAUGUUCUGAUUCUUCAGAGCUUGACGGUACCAUAGGAAUAAGCACCGGCUAACUCCGUGCCAGCAGCCGCGGUAAUACGGAGGGUGCAAGCGUUAUCCGGAUUCACUGGGUUUAAAGGGUGCGUAGGUGGGCAGAUAAGUCAGUGGUGAAAUCUUCCGGCUUAACCGGAAAAUUGCCGUUGNUACGAUUUGUCUUGAAUAUUGUUGAGGUAAGCGGAAUAUGUCAUGUAGCGGUGAAAUGCUUAGAUAUGACAUAGAACACCAAUUGCGAAGGCAGCUUACUAUAUAAUUAUUGACACUGAGGCACGAAAGCGUGGGUAGCGAACA
rnacentral:rRNA from 1 species